rnacentral:rRNA from 1 species
GAGAAGUGGUGGAGCGCUUGGAAGUGAGAAUGCCGGUAUGAGUAGCGAAAAGAGGGGUGAGAAUCCCCUCCACCGUAAGCCUAAGGUUUCCUGAGGAAGGUUCGUCCGCUCAGGGUUAGUCGGGACCUAAGCUGAGGCCGAAAGGCGUAGGCGAUGGACAACAGGUUGAUAUUCCUGUACCACCUAUUUUCGUUUGUACGAUGGGGGGACGCAGGAGGGUAGGGAAUCGCGCG